rnacentral:rRNA from 1 species
CACGUAGGGACCAAGCGUUGUCCGGAUUUAUUGGGCGUAAAGCGCUCGUAGGCGGCUCGUUGCGUCGGCUGUGAAAACCCGCAGCUCAACUGUGGGCUUGCAGCUGAUACGGGCGGGCUGGGAUUCGGUAGGGGAGACUGGAAUUCCUGGUGUAGCGGUGAAAUGCGCAGAUAUCAGGAGGAACACCGGUGGCGAAGGCGGGUCUCUGGGCCGAUAUCGACGCUGAGGAGCGAAAGCGUGGGGAGCGAACAGG